AACGAACGCUGGCGGCAGGCCUAACACAUGCAAGUCGAACGCCGUAGCAAUACGGAGUGGCAGACGGGUGCGUAACACGUGGGAACAUACCCUUUGGUUCGGAAUAACUCAGGGAAACUUGAGCUAAUACCGGAUAAGUGCGAAAGCAGAAAGAUUUAUCGCCGAAGGAUUGGCCCGCGUCCGAUUAGCUAGUUGGUGAGGUAAUGGCUCACCAAGGCGACGAUCGGUAGCUGGUCCGAGAGGAUGAUCAGCCACACUGGGACUGAGACACGGCCCAGACUCCUACGGGAGGCAGCAGUGGGGAAUAUUGGACAAUGGGCGCAAGCCUGAUCCAGCCAUGCCGCGUGAGUGAUGAAGGCCCUAGGGUUGUAAAGCUCUUUUGUCCGGGAAGAUAAUGACGGUACCGGAAGAAUAAGCCCCGGCUAACUUCGUGCCAGCCGCCGCUGUAA
rnacentral:rRNA from 1 species